UACGAAGGGGGCUAGCGUUGCUCGGAAUCACUGGGCGUAAAGCGCACGUAGGCGGAUUGCUAAGUCAGGGGUGAAAUCCUGGAGCUCAACUCCAGAACUGCCUUUGAUACUGGCGAUCUUGAGUCCGGGAGAGGUGAGUGGAACUGCGAGUGUAGAGGUGAAAUUCGUAGAUAUUCGCAAGAACACCAGUGGCGAAGGCGGCUCACUGGCCCGAUACUGACGCUGAGGUGCGAAAGCGUGGGGAGCGAACAGG
rnacentral:rRNA from 1 species